AAACUUACCUGAUGCAGGGAACGCCGACGAUCCCGAAGGUCGGCUCCCCGGACGGAGGUUUCCAUCGCACCUCUCGGAGACUGAAGUCCGCCUCUUUCCCCAAAAUGGGGAUUGAUGGAGCAUCGAAUUUUUGGUAGUGGGGAGACGUGGCAUGCGCGCCUCUCCCCC